AACGAACGCUGGCGGCAUGCCUAACACAUGCAAGUCGAACGAGACCUUCGGGUCUAGUGGCGCACGGGUGCGUAACGCGUGGGAAUCUGCCCUUCGGUUGGGAAUAACUGAGAGAAAUUUCAGCUAAUACCUUAUAAUGUCUUCGGACCAAAGAUUUAUCGCCGAGGGAUGAGCCCGCGUAGGAUUAGGUAGUUGGUGGGGUAAUGGCCCACCAAGCCGACGAUCCUUAGCUGGUCUGAGAGGAUGAUCAGCCACACUGGGACUGAGACACGGCCCAGACUCCUACGGGAGGCAGCAGUGGGGAAUAUUGGACAAUGGGCGAUAGCCUGAUCCAGCAAUGCCGCGUGAGUGAUGAAGGCCUUAGGGUUGUAAAGCUCUUUGACCCGGGAUGAUAAUGACAGUACCAGGAGAAUAAGCUCCGGCUAACUCCGUG
rnacentral:rRNA from 1 species